AUUGCUGAGCAUACGAAGUCAUUGUGUUAAAUUAAAAAAAAUCAAAAUGGAUUUUAAAUGUUUGAAAAUACUUUUACUCUUUAUAUGUAUAAGCAUUGAUUCGACAGUAUUAGUUUUGUGUCAAAACCCACUUCUGACAUCUGAUGUGUCUGUGGUAGCAGAGAACUAUCCACUGACAAUGACCUGUGUCCUUCCUAGUGCUGAGAUACGCUAUGUGGAAUGGAUCAAGAAUGGUGUUUCGACACACAUGAGGAUGGGACUGUUAUCAGGGAAAUGCGUAUCAGAACCUUCUCCUCUACCAAGUGGAUUCAGCUUUACGUGCUUCAAUUCAACGGUCUACACUCUGACCAUCCUGCAGAUGAACCGUACACAUAAUGGAGACAAAUGGCAGUGCAGUAGUAGAAACAAUUAUUUCUUACAUACAAAUAGCAACAACAUGACCAUUACAGUGCAAGAUCUCCUGGUGAAUAUUCGUCGCUUCAAGAUCCACUGCCUCAUGACGACAACUUUCCACAAAGUGGGGCAUUAGGGACAAUUAAAAUGGAGCUGCAAGAAGAGUCAGCGUAUCAAAAUGAAAGACUGGCUUGACUUGAAAAACGAAAAACUACAUGGUAAAGCAAAGUUACACGUGCAUGAUUACAUUCUUUACAUGGUAUCUCAAAAGUAGUGAACCGUGAUUUAAAUAGCAUCAUGACGUGAAUUGUGUGCACACAGCAACGUGGAUUUUAGAUAUUUUAUUAAUGUAUCAGACAUUCGAUAUGAUAUUCGGUAUUCACAUGCAUACGUAAAAGUAAUAACAUGUUAUGAAUGUUAUGUUUCAUACAUUCCAGCUACCAUACUUUCCAUAUUGCUUGAAUCGCCGCUACUGCAAUAUUGUGAAUGUCUGAAACAAGGCAUGAAACAAAGAUGUUGGUUUUCACUCACCUAACAGAUCCUUAUUUAAUUGUGCUGACCAUAAACUUAAUUUUAUAUUCUUUGUUGAAUUUUCGAUCUAAAUGACGUUUUGCAUACACACACAU